UAGAACUUAGAUCCUAAUAUGGCUCUGCAGGAAACCGUUCAUGAUAAUCUACAUGGUAUGGUACAAUCGCAAUGGCUAGGUACAAAAGAUGAGCUGACGCCUCCUUCAGUGAGAAGAAUGGAUUAUUUCUGGGAUGCGGCAAACUUGGCGAUAGUAAUUCUGGAACAUAUAUGUGUACUAGCUGCUCCAUCCCAUUUUACUUGGCAUGCAUUUUGGGUUUGUGUGGUUUUGAGUGUCUUAUGUGGACCUAUCGGGAUUGGUCUUUGUUACCAUAGAAGCCUUUGUCACAGAAGUUUGAAGCUCAAUAAAUCAGUUGAAUAUCUGUUUGCUUAUUUCGGACUCCACGCUGCACAGGGAGACCCAAUAUAUUGGGUAAGCGUUCAUCGGUUUCACCAUCAGUUCGUAGAUACCCUCAAAGACCCACAUAGCCCAAUCGAAGGAUUUUGGUUCAGCUAUAUAAAUUGGAUUUUUCAACACACCUAUCUAAGGGAAAAGUGCGGAAGACGAAUAAUGUUAUGGAUUUAAAAAAGCAAGCUUACUACAGGUUUCUUCGGAAAACAAUAUCGUUUCACUAUGUUGGACUUGCACUGCUGUUGUACGUGACAGGAGGCCUGCCCCACUUUAUUUGGGGAAUGGGUGUUAGAAUGGCAUAUUCACACCAUGGCACGUUCAUCAUCAAUUCAGUAUGCCAUAUGUGGGGUAAAAGGCCAUAUAACACCAAAGAUUUAUCCAGAAACAAUUGGUUGAUGAACAUACUUAAUUUAAGUGGAGAAGGAUGGCACAACAAUCAUCACGCCUUUGAAUUCUCAGCUCGGUUAGGUCUCGAAUGGUGGCAGCUCGACUUUCCUUGGUACGUGAUAAAGCUACUUGAGAGCAUUGGGUUAGCAACAGACGUCAAGGUCCCUACUGAAAUUCAGAAACUACAAAUGUCAUCUAAAAAUCAAUAACUGAAUUUCUCUAGUAUUAUUAAGUACUUAUUGUUAGUAAAUGACUUGGUUUGCACUAAUGCCAUGUCACUUCCUUCAGUGUAUUUUUUUUCCUACGGAUAUUUUUAAUUAAUAGCUAUAGUAAUGACAUGUUUAAUAUGUCAUCACUUCGGGAAAAAUCAUCAUUGACGAUACAAGAUAAGAGUUGC